AAGGGAGACCUAAUUCAGGUAUGGGACGAAAAAAAAGUAGUCGCUACCAAGAAUCAAUCCCAAAAGGUCGGAGCGAGGCGAAAUUGGCUUUCAAACUAGGUUCUGGGUUCACACAAGACCUGAAUCAGGAACAAGGGCUAUUAGCUCAGGUGGUUAGAGCGCACCCCUGAUAAGGGUGAGGUCCCUGGUUCGAGUCCAGGAUGGCCCACCUGCACAGGUGGCAAAAACAAAGAAAAAAAGCUCCGAAUCAGCACCUUAUCUUACCUAUACAGUAAGAGAGAAUGCUGGCUCUGAGUUCAGAGUUCAGAGGAACCUUGAAAACUGCAUAGAGCUAGGUGAAAAAGCCAAAAAAGAAGACCGCAA
rnacentral:tRNA from 1 species